GGGGAAUAUUGGACAAUGGGCGCAAGCCUGAUCCAGCCAUGCCGCGUGAGUGAUGAAGGCCCUAGGGUUGUAAAGCUCUUUCACCGGUGAAGAUAAUGACGGUAACCGGAGAAGAAGCCCCGGCUAACUUCGUGCCAGCAGCCGCGGUAAUACGGAGGGGGCUAGCGUUGUUCGGAAUUACUGGGCGUAAAGCGCACGUAGGCGGACAUUUAAGUCAGGGGUGAAAUCCCAGAGCUCAACUCUGGAACUGCCUUUGAUACUGGGUGUCUUGAGUAUGGAAGAGGUAAGUGGAAUUCCGAGUGUAGAGGUGAAAUUCGUAGAUAUUCGGAGGAACACCAGUGGCGAAGGCGGCUUACUGGUCCAUUACUGACGCUGAGGUGCGAAAGCGUGGGGAGCAAAC
rnacentral:rRNA from 1 species